rnacentral:tRNA from 1 species
UCCCUCAUAGCUCAGUUGGUAAAGAAUCUGCUUGCAAUGCAGGAGACCCUGGUUCAAUCCCUGGGUCGGGAA